rnacentral:rRNA from 1 species
UCGAGAAUCUUCCGCAAUGGACGAAAGUCUGACGGAGCGACGCCGCGUGGAGGAUGAAGUGCUUCGGCAUGUAAACUCCUUUUGCCAGGGAAAAAGUUAUUGAUUGUACCUGGAGAAUAAGAGGUUGCUAAACUCGUGCCAGCAGCAGCGGUAAUACGAGUGCCUCGAGCGUUAUCCGGAAUCAUUGGGCGUAAAGGGUGUGUAGGCGGCGCUGUUAGUCUCGCGUAAAAUCUCCCGGCUCAACCGGGAACCCGCGCGGGAAACGGCAGUGCUUGAGGAUGGAAGGGGUCUCUGGAACUCAUGGUGUAGCGGUGAAAUGCGUUGAUAUCAUGGGGAACACCGAAAGCGAAGGCAAGAGACUGGUCCACUCCUGACGCUGAAACACGAAAGCGUGGGUCGCGAAUGGGAUUAGAUACCCCCGUAGUCC